rnacentral:rRNA from 1 species
GAUGAACGCUGGCGGCGUGCUUAACACAUGCAAGUCGAACGAUAAAGCCCAGCUUGCUGGGUGGAUUAGUGGCGAACGGGUGAGUAACACGUGAGUAACCUGCCCUUGACUCUGGGAUAAGCCCGGGAAACUGGGUCUAAUACCGGAUAGGAGCGCCUGUCGCAUGGCGGGUGUUGGAAAGAUUUUUCGGUCAUGGAUGGACUCGCGGCCUAUCAGCUUGUUGGUGAGGUAAUGGCUCACCAAGGCGACGACGGGUAGCCGGCCUGAGAGGGUGACCGGCCACACUGGGACUGAGACACGGCCCAGACUCCUACGGGAGGCAGCAGUGGGGAAUAUUGCACAAUGGGCGGAAGCCCUGAUGCAGCG